UACGUAGGGUGCAAGCGUUAAUCGGAAUUACUGGGCGUAAAGCGUGCGCAGGCGGUUUUGUAAGCCGGAUGUGAAAUCCCCGGGCUUAACCUGGGAAUGGCAUUCGGGACUGCAAGGCUGGAGUGCGGCAGAGGAGACUGGAAUUCCUGGUGUAGCAGUGAAAUGCGUAGAUAUCAGGAGGAACACCGAUGGCGAAGGCAGGUCUCUGGGCUGACACUGACGCUCAUGCACUAAAGCGUGGGGAGCAAACAGG
rnacentral:rRNA from 1 species